rnacentral:rRNA from 1 species
UACGUAGGGGGCAAGCGUUGUCCGGAAUUAUUGGGCGUAAAGAGCUCGUAGGCGGUUUGUCGCGUCUGCCGUGAAAGUCCGGGGCUCAACCCCGGAUCUGCGGUGGGUACGGGCAGACUAGAGUGAUGUAGGGGAGACUGGAAUUCCUGGUGUAGCGGUGAAAUGCGCAGAUAUCAGGAGGAACACCGAUGGCGAAGGCAGGUCUCUGGGCAUUAACUGACGCUGAGGAGCGAAAGCAUGGGGAGCGAACAGG